GAGAGAGGCCUGAUGACAGUAGAGACUGCUAAUCCCCUGCCCCCAUGGUUAAAUUCCCUGGCUCACUCG
rnacentral:tRNA from 1 species